rnacentral:rRNA from 1 species
AACGCGAAGAACCUUACCAGGUCUUGACAUCGAGUGCAUAGCCUAGAGGUAGGUGAAGCCCUUCGGGGCACUCAGACAGGUGGUGCAUGGUUGUCGUCAGCUCGUGUCGUGAGAUGUUGGGUUAAGUCCCGCAACGAGCGCAACCCUUACUAUUAGUUGCUACGCAAGAGCACUCUAAUGGGACUGCCGUUGACAAAACGGAGGAAGGUGGGGAUGACGUCAAAUCAUCAUGCCCUUUAUGACCUGGGCUACACACGUAAUACAAUGGCAAUUUAACAACGGGAAGCAAGACCGCGAGGUGGAGCGAACCCCCAAAAAUUGUCUCAGUUCGGAUUGCAGGCUGCAACUCGCCUGUAUGAAGUCGGAAUUGCUAGUAAUCGCGGAUCAGCAUGCCGCGGUGAAUACGUUCCCGGGUCUUGUACACACCG